UUUGCUGUUCAAAAACACACGAAUUCCAUUUUGAAUUUUUCGCCUACACCUAAUAGUUCCAGAGAUAUUCAAGAAAAUAUGUUUUGCAACCCCAACUUGAGGGCUAUUUUCACCGCAAAAAAAAAUACCUGUCAAAUAUUUUUUUCAGUUCUAUAUCUUACUUAAAGGGCAUCAAAAUCGGGAUGUGUCGAUUGGGUAAUGUCCCCUGUUAGUCUCCGUUCGCAAUGUUGACGAUUGAAAUUCAAUGACCGCCACUGUCUAAGAUUAGGCAAUAUCCUUUAGCACCGUGCGUCGCCGACUCCACGGACGCAUCCUUGGUACCUAUAGCGAAGCAUAGCGCGAGGAUCCUUGCUCGUUUUUGCGAACAGGUGAGUAGAACGAGAAAAGGUUAACAGGACUCGGCGAUAUUCCGUUUACAUUCUUCGUUGGAACUGGUUUCUCCCUCGACGGGGAUGGUCCUUUGGACCCUAGGAAGAUUGCCAAACACCAGAGAAGAAUCAACGACAUUAAAAUUCGCACGCCUAUGGAGACGAUAUACCAUAAAUAAUAACGAAUUAUAAUUUUCCGUAUAUUUCAAAAACAAAUUUCUUUUCCUCUACAGAAAGAAUAUAUCGGUUGCAACGGAAGCGUUAUAAAUAUAUCUGUUCCCGGGUAUCUCAUCAAUCACGAGGGAACGACAUGGAAGAUAUAAAUUAUAGGAUUUCAGAGAAACGAAAUUCGCAUCAUUUCAGAGCUGGUCGAGCAUAAACGUCGCCCCGUUUUCAAUAAUUAUGAUUUAUACCAGAAUUCAAAUGAACGUAUGAAAUAAAAAGCAGACGGAAGAUCGAGAAUUUCGUAGGCUGAUCAAGAAUGCGAUUCAAGCGCCUCUAUAUGCAAACAAAUGUUACAUUGAAUACGCGGAAGGGAACAGAGAGACAGUAAUAACAUCCGUUCGAUUAAGAUGCGACGGAAGCGUUGUUUGAAUACGAAGGAAGCCGGGGCUGAGAGAAAGAAAUGGCUCCCACCGAAAGAGAAAAAGAAACGGAAGAGUGCAGGAGAGAAGAAAGCAGCAACCGCGGUGCAGCUGUUUCGGUUAGGCCCGGUUGCACAAUGCACAAAGUUCGGGUUCUAAUUCUAAAGCCGAGUACCAAUCAGCCGUUGCAUUGUUCACCAAUGAAGAGGCUGGAAAUUUUUCGGGGUUAAUCGUUCCUUGAAACCUAAUAAGCGACGUGCACGCGGUUGGACGUCCUCUGGAGAACAGGAGGCUCGAAAAGAAAUCCUGGGAAAGGGAAGUGCGACUGAGAGUGGCGCAAAUUUUUAUCGUACACGCGAUAUCGAGUGAUUGGACGGUUGAAGUAUCGCUUGUUCGUAUCGAGCGAAAUAAUACGAGUUAAGCGAAGCGACUCUGCCAUGCAUUUAACCCGCUAUUAAUAAUGGCCGUUUACAAGGAACGAGAGGAUGAUCAAUCAGGUCCGGGUGGAAGGGAUGUUGAAAGCAGACAGCAGGGAAUGAGAGUACAGUCAAGGACAACGUACGUGACCACCGCAUUGCGACGACAGAUAAUUGGUAUUACCUCUUUAAAUGACAUUAAGGUAGGUGGACACCUCGAUACUUAGAAAGGUACCCAUUAGGAGCUUUGAACUUGGGUCCAAAGGGUAUGGCAGGAUAAGAUAGUCAAAAGUGCCCUUGAAACCCAUUUCUAAAAAAGUUUCAGCCCUGUAUCUCAACCGGGAGGGUAGUUACAGGGUAAAAUUGAAAAAACGGUUUUUGCCAUAUUUUCCCUAUUUAUUGGUAUUCAAAAAAUCUGAAAAAAUUCUAGAAUAUUCUAGACAUGUUUCUUUAUGAUUAUGAAUUUUUUCAGAUUUUUCGGUUGCAAAUCCUAGGCGUGAGAAAUGGAAAACGCAAAAUAAAGUCGAAAAAUUAAGAUUUCGGGUAGAAGUUUUUGAGACACUAGAUUUUUACUUUUAUAGUGGUUAGAUAUUAGCAUGACUGGUGUCCUCGAUUUUUUUCCGAUUUUUCAGUCAGGUGCGCUGUGUUUAAAAAAAUCGAAAACCGAUAUUCUCGACAUAUUUCGUGCGAUAACAUGAGAAAUACUUACAAUUUGUACAUUUCCUUUGCACACUUAUUGUUAGUGCAUUAUGUGAUUCUAACAUUUCUGCAAGAUCUAUGGAGCAAGAUCUGAAUGGAGAGAGUGAAGUUAUUGUAAAUAAUUGAAAAUUACGCUGUACCCUUUUAACAAUUAAAAAAGUAGUCAUUUGGAGGUUUGUCAGCUGCUCAUCUUUUAAUUUUUGGGAACUUGAAUAAAUUGAACAGGUGCAGUAUUGUCUCUCCAAAUGGCCACUGAUUUAGUUUCCCUUGAUGCUAAUUAGAAAGGGAAGCAAUUUAAGGAUUCGAGUAGAAAAUGGCAAUAAAAUUAAAAAAUGGCGGGGACCACAAUUUUCCAUGGUCCUGAAAAGCUAAGCUCACCAAGAAACAAAUCAUUUGGAGGUUUGUCACCUGCUCAUCUUUUAAUUUUUGGGAACCUGAAUAAAUUGAACAGGUUCAGUAUUGUCUUUCCAAAUGGCCACUGUUUAGUUUCAUCUGAUGCUAAUUAGAAAGGGAAGCAAUUUAAGGAUUCCAGUGGAAAAUGGCAAUAAAAUUAAAAAAUGGUGGGGAUCACAAUUUUCCAUGGUCCUGAAAAGCUAAACUCACCAAGAAACAAAGCUCCUAGGUGAUUGUAUAAAUUAUAAAUAGUUCGUUCACCCGAUACGCUUGAGACCGAUCCAAAAUCGUGUGUGCUUCGCGAAUGUAUUCUCGACUCGACGAAUGACGAGCCAGAGUUAAUUUCUUAAAGACAAGACAUUCACGAGACGCUAUUUACAAUGUUAGAUCAGAUGCAAAUGAACAGAGAGGCGUGUAAAUAUUGAAGAUACCAAUAGAGAAGUGUUGAAACUGUGGUUGCAAGGAUAACAAUUAAAAUAAACAAUCAAAGUAACUCGAUUUCUUCACGCCUUUUUCUUUACAUUUCCCCCUUUGGUUCUCCCUUCGGACCAUGAGAUAAACCUUGACCAAGUUAAGGAUAACCGCAUUAAAGCUCCACUCUCUGGUAAGCCAAUCAACCGAAGAAAGUGUUUAACGGAAGAUAAAUUAUUCGAUCUUUUUAGAAGUAUAAAAAUAUUUUGCUUAUCAUUCGUCACUUACCCGAUGAAACGCCGCAAGAUCAUUUUUAUUCUAAUCAGAGUAGAAUACCGUGAAACUCACCUGAAACAAAAUACAGAAUCAGUUAAAAAUUUGCAUCCAAUCAUUAACAGGUGAUUAUAAUUAAUUCGAUAGCAGGCGUGAUAAAAAUAGCGACUAAUAAUAGUUGGUGAACCAGAAGAAUUUUUUAUACCAAGUCUGUAAUUACAACGAUAAAUUGCCUUCAUCCAAGCCAAUUGAUUAUCUUGAAUAAUUAAUCAUGUUUGAAAAAAGGAUCAAAGUUGGUAAAGGAAAAAACAAUUGCAAUUAUUUCUCGAAUGCAUAAUCACCUUCUAAAUCGAGUUAACGACCGAGUGCAGUUGAAACUGUCGAGUGAAAUAUACCGUGUGAAAGAAAAUGGUAUUGGUGGAAUAAAAAUGGAGCAAAGUGUCAUUAUAUAAAAUGUAAUUUCGAAUAAAAUGAUUUUAUGCUUCGAUCAACAGUGUGUCUGGGUUCGAGGUGAUUACCAGCCGUGACCCAGCCGUUUCUUUGGAAAAUCCGCACUUGACCUAAUUCCUUGCAACGCUCGCGAUUUUCCCUGGAAGGUAGAAAAGCUUCGUCGCACGAAUCGCGUUUCACUGUGAAAUUGCAAGAGGAACCUUGACAUUCCCGCGAGAUCGGUAAAUGGAAGCUCGUCACGUGAAGUGUACUUCCGAGGGCCUUGUAACAGGAAAUCACCCCGGAGCUUUCUCGAAUAACCGAAUGAGGGUCGUUCGCGUCGCUAAAUAUACAUUCGGUCCCGGUGAACCGUGGUACCGCGAAAGGAGUUCAAACUAACAAUAACAAUUUUCUGAAUUUCUAUUUUUCCCGAUACAUGAAAUAGCGGCAUCAAAUUCAUGGAUUGUGUAAAACAAAAGAACAAUGCGCGUUGCUGGAAACGGGAGAACAAUAAAAUAGGACCUCGGUGCUGAAAUAUAGGUCAGACAAAUGAGCCAGGAUUAUCGCAAAGGAUGCGAUGCGCCACGUGUGACUGAAACAUUUAUGUAAUGCCGCGUGGUAUUCAAAUGAAGGAAAGGAAAAAAAGGAUCUGUAUGGUUACUUGGAAGUCGUUGAUCAAAGAAAUCGUCGAAGGGUUAAAAGGACGGUCAUCGAGGUGUUACUAAAAUUAUAGCCAGAGGCGGGUGUGAUAUAUAAACGUGUUAAUUUUUGCUAAUAUCAAAUAGCGACUGUGGCUUAUAUACCACUAAAAUAAAAAUAAAAUAAGUAGAAUAUCACUUCAGUAAUAUAAUUUCAAAUUAGAACGAUCGGCUGUGCUAAAAGUACCAGCAGUUGAAGGGUUAAAUAAUUUAAAAAUGAAAAGGAUAACUA